AAUAGAUACCCUGGUAGUCCACGCCGUAAACGGUGGGCACUAAAUGUGGGGCUCAUUCCAUGAGUUCCGCGUCGCAGCUAACGCAUUAAGUGCCCCCGCCUGGGGAGUACGGCCGCAAGGCUAAAACUCAAAGGAAUUGACGGGGGCCCGCACAAGCGGCGGAGCAUGCGGAUUAAUUCGAUGCAACGCGAAGAACCUUACCAAGGCUUGACGUAUACCGUUUAUCCCUAGAGAUAGGGAGUCCUUCGGGCGGUAUACAGGUGGUGCAUGGUUGUCGUCAGCUCGUGUCGUGAGAUGUUGGGUUAAGUCCCGCAACGAGCGCAACCCUCGUUCUAUGUUGCCAGCGCGUAAUGGCGGGGACGUCAUAGGAGACUGCCGGGGUCGAACUCGGAGGAAGGUGGGGAUGACGUCAAAUCAUCAUGCCCCUUAUGUCUUGGGCUUCACGCAUGCUACAAUGGCCGGUACAAGGGCUGCAAUACCGUAAGGUGGAGCGAAUCCAAAAGCCGGUCUCAGUUCGGAUUGAGGUCUGCAACUCGACCU
rnacentral:rRNA from 1 species